rnacentral:rRNA from 1 species
GGACGAACGCUGGCGGCGUGCCUAACACAUGCAAGUCGAACGGAGUUGCUCCUUCGGGAGUAACUUAGUGGCGAACGGGUGAGUAACGCGUGAGAAACCUGCCUUUCAGUGGGGGAUAACCCGGAGAAAUCCGGACUAAUACCGCAUAAAACAGGGGUCCCGCAUGGGAAUAUUUGUUAAAGAGUUAUCGGUGUCGGAUGGGCAUGCGUUCCAUUAGCUAGUUGGUGGGGUAACGGCCCACCAAGGCGACGAUCAGUAGCCGGACUGAGAGGUUGACCGGCCACAUUGGGACUGAGAUACGGCCCAGACUCCUACGGGAGGCAGCAGUGGGGAAUAUUGGGCAAUGGGCGAAAGCCUGACCCAGCAACGCCGCGUGAAGGAAGAAGGCCUUCGGGUUGUAAACUUCUUUUACCAGGGACGAACACAAUGACGGUACCUGGAGAAAAAGCAACGGCUAACUACGUG